CCCGCUCUCGGCGCUUUACGGCAGUGUGGCUGGAGCCCCUGCGGAGGGGGCCGCGUUUUGGGCGUGAGUGGAGGGAACCCGAGUAGCAGGUGUUGGCGGGGCCUGAAACCAUGGACGUGGGCGAACUUCUGAGCUACCAGCCCAACAGAGGCACCAAACGUCCCGGGAUGAUGAAGAGGAAGAACUGAAAAUGCGUCGGAGACAAGCUGGCACUCGAGACCGCAGCCGCGGUCGGGAAGAGGAAAUGAGGUGCAGAAGAAGCCGAUGAUGACAAAAAAAGACUGC